rnacentral:tRNA from 1 species
UCCCUAGUGGCUCAGUUGGUAAAGAAUCUGCCUGCAGUGCAGGAGACCCAGGUUCGAUACCCUGGUCAGGAAG